GAGUUUGAUCCUGGCUCAGGAUGAACGCUGGCGGCGUGCCUAAUACAUGCAAGUCGAGCGAACCACUUCGGUGGGAAGCGGCGAACGGGUGAGUAACACGUAGGUGAUCUGCCCAUCAGACGGGGACAACGAUUGGAAACGAUCGCUAAUACCGGAUAGGACGAAAGUUUAAAGAUGCUCCUGGCAUCACUGAUGGAUGAGCCUGCGGCGCAUUAGCUAGUUGGUGGGGUAAAGGCCUACCAAGGCGACGAUGCGUAGCCGACCUGAGAGGGUGAACGGCCACACUGGGACUGAGACACGGCCCAGACUCCUACGGGAGGCAGCAGUAGGGAAUCUUCGGCAAUGGGGCGAAAGCCUGACCGAGCAACGCCGCGUGAAUGAAGAAGGCCUUCGGGUUGUAAAAUUCUGUUAUAAGGGAAGAAAGGUGAUAGGAGGAAAUGACUAUCAAUUGACGGUACCUUAUGAGAAAGCCACGGCUAACUACGUG
rnacentral:rRNA from 1 species